rnacentral:rRNA from 1 species
UGGGUGAUCUGCCCUGCACUUUGGGAUAAGCCUGGGAAACUGGGUCUAAUACCGAAUACACCCUGCUGGUCGCAUGGCCUGGUGGGGGAAAGCUUUUGCGGUGUGGGAUGGGCCCGCGGCCUAUCAGCUUGUUGGUGGGGUGAUGGCCUACCAAGGCGACGACGGGUAGCCGGCCUGAGGAGGGUGUCCGGCCACACUGGGACUGAGAUACCGGCCCAGACCUCCGUACGGGAGGCA